GAUGAACGCUGGCGGCGUGCCUAAUACAUGCAAGUCGAGCGAACGGACGAGAAGCUUGCUUCUCUGAUGUUAGCGGCGGACGGGUGAGUAACACGUGGAUAACCUACCUAUAAGACUGGGAUAACUUCGGGAAACCGGAGCUAAUACCGGAUAAUAUUUUGAACCGCAUGGUUCAAAAGUGAAAGACGGUCUUGCUGUCACUUAUAGAUGGAUCCGCGCUGCAUUAGCUAGUUGGUAAGGUAACGGCUUACCAAGGCAACGAUGCAUAGCCGACCUGAGAGGGUGAUCGGCCACACUGGAACUGAGACACGGUCCAGACUCCUGAGGGAGGCAGCAGUAGGGAAUCUUCCGCAAUGGGCGAAAGCCUGACGGAGCAACGCCGCGUGAGUGAUGAAGGUCUUCGGAUCGUAAAAAUCUGUUAUUAGGGAAGAACAUAUGUGUAAGUAACUGUGCACAUAUUGACGGUACCUAAUCAGAAAGCCACGGCUAACUACGUG
rnacentral:rRNA from 1 species